AUGGUGUUGAGAUCGUCCACUUUUCCUCGUUUUGCCUGUAAUUUUUCUUUCCUCCAAUUUUCUCUCAGAGGUUUCGUGGAAAAAGUUUCCCCGUCAACUCUGACACCGUUGGGAUGCAACGGCAGCGGCCAGCAGCAAUGCAAUGUUGCCGCUGGGGCAGUGACUGCUUGUGGCAGCCAAAAGCAAGCAGCAGCUGCAGUACGCGGCGCUGGGCAAGGGGCUAUUUGCGUCAGCGAGCAGCGGCAGCCAUGGCUUCAGCAAGCAUCAGGAAAUAGGUGGCUCAGACUGAGAUGGGGAGCAGCAAAUCCAUGCCGUUCUGUACCUGCUCGCCCUGUUUCUAGGAAUCCCGGUAGCUAUCCCCCUGUUUUUUUUUACGAGAAAUCCCCUGGUUAA
rnacentral:rRNA from 1 species